rnacentral:rRNA from 1 species
AUUGAACGCUGGCGGCAGGCCUAACACAUGCAAGUCGAACGAGUGGCGGACGGGUGAGUAAUGUCUGGGAAACUGCCUGAUGGAGGGGGAUAACUACUGGAAACGGUAGCUAAUACCGCAUACCAUCAGAUGUGCCCAGAUGGGUUUAGCUAGUUGGUGGGGUAAUGGCUCACAAAGGCGACGAUCCCUAGCUGGUCUGAGAGGAUGACCGGCAACGCUGGAGCUGAGACACGGUGCAGACUCCAACGGGAGGCAGCAGUGGGGAAUAUUGCACAGUGGGCGAAAGACUGAUGCAGCCAAGCCGCGGGUAUGAAGAAGGCCUUCGGAUUGUAAAGUACUUUCAGCGGGGAGGCGUUACCCGCAGAAAAAGCACCGGCUAACUACGUGCCAGCAGCCGCGGUAAUUC